rnacentral:rRNA from 1 species
CCUACGGGAGGCAGCAGUGAGGAAUAUUGGUCAAUGGCCGGAAGGCUGAACCAGCCAUGCCGCGUGAAGGUCAGUGCCCUAUGGGCGUUAAACUUCUUUUGUGCGGGAGCAAUAAUGGUCACGUGUGGCCAGACGAGAGUACCGUACGAAUAAGCAUCGGCUAACUCCGUGCCAGCAGCCGCGGUAAUACGGGGGAUGCAAGCGUUAUCCGGAUUUAUUGGGUUUAAAGGGUGCGUAGGCUGGGAGGUAAGUCAGCGGUGAAAUGCCCCCGCUCAACGGGGUGAAGUGCCAUUGAUACUGCCUGGCUGGAAUGCGGAUGCCGUGGGAGGAAUGUGUGGUGUAGCGGUGAAAUGCAUAGAUAUCACACAGAACACCGAUUGCGAAGGCAUCUCACGAAGCCGCGAUUGACGCUGAUGCACGAAAGCGUGGGUAUCAAACAGGAUUAGAUACCCGGGUAGUC